rnacentral:rRNA from 1 species
GACGAACGCUGGCGGCGUGCUUAACACAUGCCAGUCGAACGAAAAGAGGGAAAGAGCUUGCUCUUUCCGGAAUUGAGUGGCAAACGGGUGAGUAACACGUAAACAACCUGCCUUCAGGAUGGGGACAACAGACGGAAACGACUGCUAAUACCGAAUAAGUUCCAAGGGCCGCAUGGCCCAUGGAAGAAAAGGUGGCCUCUACCUGUAAGCUAUCGCCUGAAGAGGGGUUUGCGUCUGAUUAGCUGGUUGGAGGGGUAACGGCCCACCAAGGCGACGAUCAGUAGCCGGUCUGAGAGGAUGAACGGCCACACUGGAAUUGAGACACGGUCCAGACUCCUACGGGAGGCAGCAGUGGGGAAUCUUCCGCAAUGGGCGAAAGCCUGACGGAGCAACGCCGCGUGAGUGAUGACGGCCUUCGGGUUGUAAAACUCUGUGAUCCGGGACGAAAAGGCAGAGUGCGAAGAACAAACUGCAUUGACGGUACCGGAAAAGCAAGCCACGGCUAACUACGUG